GACGAACGCUGGCGGCGUGCCUAAUACAUGCAAGUAGAACAGUUGCGAACGGGUGAGUAACGCGUAGGUAACUGCCUCAUAGCGGGGGGUAACUCUUUGAAACGAUAGCUAAUAUCGCAUACUGUGAGCUGGCCCUGCAUUGUAUUAGCUAGUUGGUUAGGUAAAGGCUCACCAAGGCGACUAUACAUAGCCGACCUGAGAGGGGGAUCGGACAAACGGGGACUGAGACACGGCCCAGACGCCUACGGGAGGCAGCAGUAGGGAAUCUUCGGCAAUGGACGGAAGUCUUACCGAGCAACGCCGAGGGAGUGAAGAAGGUUUUCGGAUCGUAAAGCUCUGUUGUUAGAGAAGCGUUACCUAACUAGAAAGGGACGGCUAACUACGUGCCAGCAGCCGCGGUAAUAC
rnacentral:rRNA from 1 species